rnacentral:lncRNA from 1 species
GGCAGCCAAGAGGAGGAGGAAGUCGAUGAUUGCUAAGCGUCGCCGAGUUGGGAGUGUCUUCAGCCCUAAGGCAGCAUCAGAGAUCAUAAUCUUCUGCUCUCGUGGCAAGAAAUUUGUGCGGAUAGAGUUGAUACACCUCACUUGAAGUUGGCCUGGAGAAAAGAGGCGUCGGACUCCUGGACGGGGUUGGGAAACGGUCACCAGUUUCGGCUCAAAGCAGCCUGUUUCCAGGAGACCGCCAUGGUCGAGGCAGCGUCCUGGUCCCACGGUGCGGGGCCGGACGAUCAUUUAUGGGAUAUAAAUAAAAGGACUAUGAGGUGGUAAAUAAAAGACUACCAACUAGAAGCCAUAGGGAGUCAUUUGAAGGAGAAAUAGGCACGGCUCAUCUGUGGUUGAGGGAAAGGGAUCUUGAAAGAUGAUUAGGAGAACUUGGGUUCUGGGGAAAGUGCGGGAAGACAUUCUGGCAGAGAAGCAAACGUGAGGAAAGGUAAGAAGGCAAGAAUCUCCCAUUACAAAGGGUUUGGUGAAACCCUUUGCCUGUCCUUUUCGCUCCCUUCGGGAGCAGUCGGCAAUAAGCUGGAAGGGUAAUGGGGUGAAAAUGCCCGUGGUCAGUUCCCUGGCUCUGCGACUCACUAGAUGUCUGACAAUAAACAAGUUACUUAGCUUCUGGGAGUCUGUU